CUAUGUAUAAAGUCCUAGCUGUUGUGCUUGCAUUCAGAAAACCUAACUAACUGCCGGCCAGUUUCUCAUCUCCCUUUCCUGAGCAAUGUUCUGGAGUGAGUGGCUGCAGACCAGAUCCAGGCGCUUUGGAAAGAAACUGAUUUUCUGGAUCCGUUUCAAGUGGGGUUUAUGUGACAAAGACACCUGAGAGCCGAAGCAGCCAAGCAGGCUGGGAAGUGCUGGGACUGCGCCGUCAUUUGGUCCUAGUCAUGUUCUCCAGGCCUGACUGCUAACUGCGGAGUCACUCUGGCAUGGGACUUGGCAGCCAUUUUCUCUCUGUGCCCUCAGUAAGAUGUCAGUCAGAGUCAGUCUGCCUCAGUUGACUACACAAAACCUGGGCUAAGAAGGAACAUAAUCUCUUUCAGACGUGGAGAAGGAAGAACAUGGAUGAGCAGAAAUACCUUCCCCCUUGGCGUCACCCACCUUCCUGGGCGGAGAAGGUCCCUUCCGCACACCGAGCACAAGCAUAGCAGCAAAUGGGCUUUCCUUCUAGAACCACCUUGGCAUA